AUUGAACGCUGGCGGCAGGCUUAACACAUGCAAGUCGAGCGGGGGAGGUUGCUUCGGUAACUGACCUAGCGGCGGACGGGUGAGUAAUGCUUAGGAAUCUGCCUAUUAGUGGGGGACAACAUUCCGAAAGGAAUGCUAAUACCGCAUACGCCCUACGGGGGAAAGCAGGGGAUCUUCGGACCUUGCGCUAAUAGAUGAGCCUAAGUCGGAUUAGCUAGUUGGUGGGGUAAAGGCCUACCAAGGCGACGAUCUGUAGCGGGUCUGAGAGGAUGAUCCGCCACACUGGGACUGAGACACGGCCCAGACUCCUACGGGAGGCAGCAGUGGGGAAUAUUGGACAAUGGGCGCAAGCCUGAUCCAGCCAUGCCGCGUGUGUGAAGAAGGCCUUUUGGUUGUAAAGCACUUUAAGCGAGGAGGAGGAGCUUCUGGUUAAUACCCAGGAUGCUUGGACGUUACUCGCAGAAUAAGCACCGGCUAACUCUGUGCCAGCCGCCGCGGUAAAAC
rnacentral:rRNA from 1 species